rnacentral:lncRNA from 1 species
AAAAAGGGGUGAAAAGAACAAAGUUUUGUCCAUCUUUGUUCAUCAUAGCCGAAAGUUAGAGAAGAGAAAGGAGAGGAGAAAGCUCUUGAAUGUUCGGUCACUUGGGGAAGAAAAUUGAAGGUAAGUUCAUGGUAGUUUGCUUCUAUCUUGAUGUUCAUGAGUUCUUCUUGAUUCUACCUUAACUCUUGAAGCAUAUUUUGGUUUUUAGUUGUGUUGUGAGCAUUUAGUCAUGAAUUAAGAUGAAGGAAAUGGUUGUUGUUUCAUGUUCUUUUGAUGAAAAAUGGAAGAUAGGUGAAGUUGAGCCAAACAAAUGAGCAUGCAUGUGCCUUAGAUGCUGAGGGGAAAAAUCGGCUAACAUGUUGUGCUUUAAAAUGAUGAAAUAGAGAUUAUACUUAAGUAAAAUCAUAUAUAUGUGAUGAUUGAUUGGUGAUAUACAUGUUUAAAUAACAUGCAUGCAAGUUAUGUGUGAAAGAGUGAAUUUGGUAAUAAAUCUGCUUGGGACAGCAGCAGUAACGUGACUUUGGAAAAUCACCAUAAAUUGUGGGAGAUGAAUUAGAAGCUGAAUAAAUAUGUAAUUAAAUCUUGUUGAGUCUAGUUUCAAAUGAAAUAAACGAGAACAUAUUUUGAAUUCUGUACAAUGAGAAAUUUGAUUCGUAAUGAAGAGUGGUCAGAUUAGUCAAACAGUGAAACAUGCGAAACUUUGAGAAAAAUCUGGUAUUGAUUGGCCAAACCAAAAAUUCUAAAAAUUUUAUGGAUAUAAUAUAUAUGAGUCUAUUUUCAGGGAAAAUUAACGGCACUUGAUUUGGAGUUUCGUACCUCCAGUUAUAAAUGAUUUAGUGACUGUUGCUCAGGAAGAUAGCUUGCAGUGAAAUUAUGAUUAUGUGGUAAACAUUGACAAAAAUUUGUUAAUGAGUUGCUUAUUGAUUUCUUGUAAGCUUACUAUGAUCUGUAGGUGUGGUUGGCCGAAUAUUGUAAGGGGUUAAUACGUAGUUUGUAUUUGAAUAGUUAGAUUAACGUGUUAGUAAUCCAAUUGUAGGCGGUUCGUGUGUGGAUCUCGUCAGCAUGUCGUCGCAAACAGGUGUGUAACUAACACCCUCUUUCUUAGUCUAGAUCGGCAAAAGUCGAAAAGUCGAAAUGCCGAAAACCGAUAUUUUGUAGAUUUGCGAGUGUGCGAAUGCUCGUGAGGUAAAUCGAUUAAUGUUUUUGGUAAGCUGCAAUGUUUGGACUGCAAAGUGCAUGAUUUCUGUGCCCUCGAUAUUUUUGGGCUUAAUGGGCCAAAAUUGGAAUGAUGGGCCAACGGGCCCAAUUCGGUAAGAACCCUCGGUAGUGAUUCUAUUAGUACGUGAAAAGUAGGAAUAUGCAUGAAAAACCCUAAAAUAGAUAAAUUACUGAAAUACCUUUAAAAGUGAAAAUUUUACAGUUUUACCCUUAGGAGAUAAAUUACCGAAAUACCCCUAGGGUUAAAUUGACUUAAAUGCAUGUUUGACUGUUGUUAUUUACUGCAUGCCAUGUUGUUAUUAUCUGAUGCAUGGGAUUGGGAUAUUGAUGGAGGAAGUACUGAAAGUGGCUUGUCCACGUACUGGAGGCUUUGCCUCAAUUUACUGUUAACUGAGCAGCAAGGCUGCAACUGUGAAGUGUUGGGCUGGGUGGGUUGAGUUAUUCCCCACAUGGAGUGUAUGGCUGGUACGGGUGGAGUGUAGUGGUUGGUGGGUUGAGUAGUCUCCCCAAAUGGGCUUGCAUAUGUUUAUUGAUGUUGCAUGUAUUUUGGAAUGGGCCUAUGGGCCAUACUGUUAUCUGAAUAAGGGGCUAAGGCCCAGUUUAUUGUAAUCUGAAAAGGGCUCUGGUCCAAUACCACUGUUACCUGAAUGGGCUUAGGCCCAAUAGGCUUGAGCUGACUUACACACUGAGUUUCCCCAAACUCACCCUUUUUAUUUUCAUCCACGUAGGAAAUUCCCAACCAUAGUAGGCUUGGAGCUGUGAGGGAAUUCAGAGUAGCCACCCGUUCUAAAAGUUUGAUUUUCUUCUGGUGAACUGGACAUCCUUUUAUUUACGUUUGAAGUUUUGGGUUUUUAAAUGUAAUAAGGCCGCUUAAUUAUUUUUUAUGGUUUUAGUAUGUAUUACUAAGAUAGGUAUUACUUAUUUUAACUGUUGAAAUUGGAUAGCUUUAGGGCGCGUUUUCAAAAACAACAAUUGAUUUCAAAAUAACACGACAACAAGCAAAGCUUCCGC